UAGAUAUAGUUUUAAGUUUUGACUUUAUAUAUAUAUUAUCAAUUCGGGUUCGGGUCCGAUUCGGAUUCGGGUUGGGGUCGGACAAAAUCUCUACCAAAAUCCCAAUCCGUUGGAUUUUCGUGUUUUAUAUUUGUAUCCGUAACUAUAUCCGUUUAGCAUCAGAUAAAUCUGUACCAUUCGAAUUCGAAUUCAAAUUCGAAUAAAAUUUCAUACAUCCGUACCCAUUGAUGUCCCUACUUGUCUGUGACUCUCGCUAUCGUAAAUAAAUUGAAGUAGACUUUCGGUGAAUUAACAUUCAGGCAGAAAAAAUACCUACCGUCCCUAGAGCAAGUGGCAAAGGGCUUGGUGGUUGGUACCCGAGACCCAAGUUCGAACCCUAGUUGAUUCACAUUUCUAGUUAAGUUUAUUUCUAAAUGAAAUAAACGAAGCGGGUAGCGUGCUACCUAUUUCUCAAAAUAAAAAAAACAUUCAGGCAAAAAUUAUUUUAUUCUUGCUAUUUGUUUGUAUAGUUAUGGAGUGGAAAUUCCUCCAGCUUUACUAUCUAUACGACAGAAAGUGAAUAACACAAAAACUGAAAAUUUAAGAGAUGGAUUAAUUAUUUUUUUUAAAAAAAUUUCUUAUUUCUUUUCCGCCUAAUUGGCUUCGGGUUGUGAUGGAUUGAAGUCAAUUAUGAUAUUUUGAGUAGUUUGAGUUUCGACUGACCGUAAAGUUAUGAUGAAUUAAACAACAAAAAUAAAUAUUUUAUAGAUAAAAAUUACUUCAACCUCUCUCUCUAUUUUCAGUGAAACAAACAU
rnacentral:lncRNA from 1 species